rnacentral:rRNA from 1 species
UACGUAUGGUGCAAGCGUUAUCCGGAUUUACUGGGCGUAAAGGGAGCGCAGGCGGCGCGCCAAGUCUGAUGUGAAACCCCGGGGCUCAACCCCGGGCAUGCAUUGGAAACUGGCGGGCUGGAGUGCCGGAGAGGUAAGCGGAAUUCCUAGUGUAGCGGUGAAAUGCGUAGAUAUUAGGAGGAACACCAGUGGCGAAGGCGGCUUACUGGACGGCAACUGACGCUGGGGCUCGAAAGCGUGGGGAGCAAACAGG